rnacentral:rRNA from 1 species
AGCGAACGCUGGCGGCAGGCUUAACACAUGCAAGUCGAGCGGGCACUUUCGGGUGUCAGCGGCGGACGGGUGAGUAACGCGUGGGAACGUGCCCUCUGGUUCGGAAUAACUCAGGGAAACUUGAGCUAAUACCGGAUACGCCCUUUUGGGGAAAGGCUUGCUGCCGGAGGAUCGGCCCGCGUCUGAUUAGCUAGUUGGUGAGGUAACGGCUCACCAAGGCGACGAUCAGUAGCUGGUCUGAGAGGAUGAUCAGCCACACUGGGGCUGAGACACGGCCCAGACUCCUACGGGAAGCAGCAGUGGGGAAUAUUGGACAAUGGGCGCAAGCCUGAUCCAGCCAUGCCGCGUGAGUGAUGAAGGCCUUAGGGUUGUAAAGCUCUUUUAUCCGGGACGAUAAUGACGGUACCGGAGGAAUAAGCCCCGGCUAACUUCGUG